ACCCCAGUAGAGCAAUGGAUAUCGUGUUGGACUUUUAAUACAAAGGCUGUGGUUUCAAAUACCACCUGGGAUG